AGAAGAUCAGAAGCAGCCUAGAUGAAGCACACAGUGUUUUAGCACAUCUCAUUUGAAUGUACUGUUAUCUUUACAAACAAACAGUCUAGCAGAUAUGCCCAAACUAACGCUCAUCAGAUUGUGUUUCUGGCUUUGUCUGGUGGUCUCCGGAGAUGCAGUCCCCAAACCUACAAUCACUUCUUCCUGUAACCCAGACAAAACCUCCUGCACUCUGACCUGUGAAGGUGACACCACUGAUGCUGAACCAGUCACUUACAGCUGGAAAGUGGGAGAGGGGCCGUGGGAGGUUGUAGGAAAACAGCUGAUUAUCUUUAAGAGCAACACUGGCAAAUCAACAAACAGUUACAAGUACACCUGCAAGCUGAAUAAUGCUGUUAGUGGGGAAGUCAGUGAGCCAGUUGGAGAGGUGUUUGGUUCAGAUCUUUAUCAUGAAGUGGGUGGUGAUCUGGUGUUGAAGCCAGAGAAGUCUACAGUGACUGACCACAUCACAAGCAUCCUAUGGAAGCAUGGGAAGAACAAGGUGGCAGAAUGGGACAAGGAUUAUGGUGGCCUGGACAUCUAUGGUGCCUUCAGAAACCGUACAACCCUGGACCAGACUACUGGAGAGCUGAGAAUCAGUGGAUUGAUGAAAACAGACAGUGGAGUUUAUUCUGUGGAGUUCAACAGAAAACUGCUAGACAAGACAUAUACACUAUCUGUUAUCAAGGCAGUCCCCAAACCCACAAUCACUUCUUCCUGUAACCCAGACAAAACCUCCUGCACUCUGACCUGUGAAGGUGACACCACUGAUGCUGAACCAGUCACCUACAGCUGGAAAGUGGGAGAGGGGCCGUGGGAGGUCUUAGACAAACAGCAGAAUGUCUCUAAGAGCAACACUGGCAAAUCAACCAGCGGUUACAAGUACAUCUGCAAGCUGAAUAAUGCUGUUAGUGGGGAAGUCAGUGAGCCAGUUGGAGAGGUGUUUGGUUCAGGUUUCACAGUUUGAAGGAACUUCCUUUUCCACUUGCAUUGCAAGCAGAGUAUGAACAUUUACAAGAAGGGAACCAUGAAGAUGAGCUCGGAGUGGGCAAGGGAGAGGCUGAUGAAGCAGCAGAGAAGACCUGAUUCAUCAAGUAUCAUUAACCCCAAUCAAAUAUCCAAUGUCAUUAAAACAUGUAUCCCAAUUUACAGUCAAACAACAUCGGUCAGUUGUGUUAAUGUUAUGAACUACAAACCAUCGAUGGUUCUUGGAGUCAAUGAAUCAAUUGAAAGUGACUACAAUUAGACUACAUUUUAAAACUGUCAGUAAAUAUGACAAAAAAAGUCAUCUGCUCUUAUGGUUCUGUUUACAUUUCUUCAACACUUCAAUCCGACGCUAAUGUUUGACGUCAGGCAAAACGUCUUCAGCCACCGUAGGACGGAGAGCCGCUGGUUGGCAUUUUUGUCUGUGUGGGUGUACCAGGAAAGGACGUUAGAAGUUAUGUCUCCAUGAUAUCGAAGCUUCUUACCAUCUCCACUGCGGCCCAGUCGAUAUCGAUUUAAAAAAAAAAACAGGAACAAGAGAUAUUGUGUAGCACAUAGUAGCAAAAAAAUUCACUGGAACAACUUGUUUGCCUAUUCUCCCAACAAAUGUCAAUUAUACAUUUUUACAUGCGUUAGAGUGCAUUUUCUUUUUUAGCUCUGCUUUUAACGCCAUCCUGACCCACAAACUGGUUAGCAGACUCAGGGCUCUGGGUAUAAAUCCUGUAAUAACAAAUUUGAUUUUUUUAACAUUAUCACAAGAAUGUGUAUCCCCAGAAUGGACCCAUGAUCAUGAGUACAUGAAGGAGCUGUGGGACCUGACAUAAUGGUGAUAGGACAACAGUCUCAGCGUAAGCAAAACAAAGUAAAUGGUGACACUUGACCGUUCUCCCAUCUACUGUACAUUGACAUGGAGAUGAUCAGCAGCUUCAAGUUCCUGGGUACCCUGAUAUCCUUUUCUGACCCGCAGUUACUUCAAUCAUUCCCACUUGUGUUUCUCCACUACCCUCAAACUUGCUGUACCACGACCUAUGUACCAAGUACAGUGUGUUUGUACUGCCAUAACAUGUAAAUGAAAUGUCCAUAUUUACUGUAAGAUGUAUUUAUGGUAACAUUGCACAUUGUAACAUAGUCCCUUGACAUACAUGACUUAACUACUUUGCAUAAUUCUCAGUAUACCCACUCUAAUAAAUCAUACAUAUAUUAAAGCUGCAUUAUGUAUUACUGUCCAAAUGAUUCUGGUUGUUUGUAAUGUUUUUGAAAACUUUCACUACACAACUUUUUUUUGCUCAUGGACACUGGAAACUUUCAUAAUAUCAAUUAUUUUGGGACACAUCACCAAUUAACAGUGCAGCAUUCUGAACUUACUAGGUUGUCAUGCAAUAAACAUUUUGGAUAAUCCCCCUUAAAUCAAUUCGUAUUUGUCACAUGCACCAACUACAACCGGUGUAGACCUUACAGUGAAAUGCUUACUUUACAAGCCCUUAACCAACAAUGCAGUUUUAAAAAAUUACCAAAAAAGUAAAGUAAAUAAUUAAAG